GGGAACGUGGCGGAAUUGGUAGACGCGCUAGCUUGAGGGGCUAGUGGACAUCAGUCCAUGGGAGUUCAAGUCUCCCCGUUCCCA
rnacentral:tRNA from 1 species